UACGAAGGGGACUAGCGUUGUUCGGAAUCACUGGGCGUAAAGCGCACGUAGGCGGAUGUGUCAGUCAGGGGUGAAAUCCCGGGGCUCAACCUCGGAACUGCCUUUGAUACAGCACGUCUCGAAUCCGGAAGAGGUGGGUGGAAUUCCUAGUGUAGAGGUGAAAUUCGUAGAUAUUAGGAAGAACACCGGUGGCGAAGGCGGCCCACUGGUCCGGUACUGACGCUGAGGUGCGAAAGCGUGGGGAGCAAACAGG
rnacentral:rRNA from 1 species